CCCCCUCCGUCCGCUUCCUCGCCGCCGCAAGCCGCCGCGCGUCCACGGGGAACAGUGGCAUCUUGGCUUGGUUCAUCGUCGCCGUCGUCAUCCCCCCCGUGCUCCCUUGGCCGCCUCUGCCCCGUGAGGGCCUCCACUAUGCCUCCCUCGUCGCCUGCCUCCAAGCUCAUGCGCGUGGGCAUGCGUCCACGGCGCCGGCAACGCGUCCGCGGCGACGCCAGCUCGGCCUCCUCGCCCCGCGGCUAUAUAAGACCACCCCGCGGCCUCCCGAGCGUCUCAGCAGCCUCGCCUCACUCCCAGAAACCUCCCCAACCUCUCCUCCGAUCUAGAGAUGGUUCAGAGCCCUCCGGCCGCCUCGACCAUCGCCGGUCCUCGGCUAAAUUCGCUCAAAGCCGUCUCCCUCCUUGCUUUCUUCCACCACCAGAGUUCCUCUCUACCUCCUGUGAUCCUCCACGGUCGUUUCCCUCAUCCUCCGGCGCGCCAGGGCGCAGUGCCCAUCGCUGGCCGCAGCCUCCAUCCGCCGCGGCGGAGGCUCAGCCCUCCACAACGCUCGCCAGCGCGCGUGACAGGUCCAGGCGGGUGUGCCUCCUUGUGCUGGUCACUCCGGUGGCCGGGGCGUCCCCUGAGUCGGCCCGAGUCGCUGGGACGAGCGCCGGCGUCGAGCCUCUGCUCUGCUUCGUCGGGCGAGCAAGGAGUUGAAGACGACGACCACUCCCGACGACCCCACCUUCCCGCGGGACCCACCCGUCAGCCGCUCUGGGCAUUGACCCACAUGACGCUGAUGUGGAUAAAUGGUCAUGUACCCGUCAGAAUACGUUUUCCAGAAGGCGUAUUCCAGUAAAAGGCGCUUUCAGUUUUUCUGUCAAGGGCCUGUGUGUGAGGAUUUUAUUGCAGAAAGGUCCCUGGCAGAAAAACAUUCAUAUCUUUUUACUCCUAGCUCCAAAUCAGCCCCUCCGAGAGAGAAAGAUUUCCCGCGGUUCUUCUAUGAGCUUCUCGCACUUCUUCUCGGUGAUUUCUUCCAUCCCAGGAAAGCCACACCCUCCAUUAGCAUGAUUGCAAUGUAGUAGCAUGGUUUAAGUUAUUGAACUUGUUUAAAAUAUUGCAUUAGGUAUGUAUGAUUUGUUCAUGGCAUUUCUCGGAGUAUGGUUUUGAUCUAGAUGUUGCCAUGAUAUUGCCUGGAGUUCUAGGACUUAUGUUUUGAUGAUUAUGUGGAUGACAUGUUGCCUUUGGAUUCUUA